UACGGGGGGGGCAAGCGUUGUUCGGAAUUACUGGGCGUAAAGGGCGCGUAGGCGGUUCGCUAAGUUGGAUGUGAAAACUCUGGGCUCAACCCAGAGCCUGCAUCCAAAACUGGCGGGCUAGAGUUCUGGAGGGGGUAGCGGAAUUCCUGGUGUAGCGGUGAAAUGCGUAGAUAUCAGGAGGAACACCGGUGGCGAAGGCGGGUCUCUGGGCAACAACUGACGCUGAGGAGCGAAAGCGUGGGGAGCGAACAGG
rnacentral:rRNA from 1 species